CAAUAGUGUAUAUUUAAGUUGUUGCAGUUAAAAAGCUCGUAGUUGGAUUUCGGUUAAGAGCGACCGGUCCGCCGUUUGGUGUGCACUGGUUGGUUUUAACUUCCUGUAGAGGACGUGCUCUGGGUUUAACGACCUGGACUCGGAGUCUACGUGGUUACUUUGAAAAAAUUAGAGUGUUCAAAGCGGGCUUACGCUUGAAUAUUUCAGCAUGGAAUAACACUAUAGGACUCCUGUCCUAUUUCGUUGGUCUCGGGACGGGAGUAAUGAUUAAGAGGAACAGUUGGGGGCAUUCGUAUUUCAUUGUCAGAGGUGAAAUUCUUGGAUUUAUGAAAGACGAACUUCUGCGAAAGCAUUUGCCAAGGAUGUUUUCAUUA
rnacentral:rRNA from 1 species